rnacentral:rRNA from 1 species
UAUCUCUGUAGAGUCUGCAUAUCAAUAAGCGGAGGAAAAGAAACUAACUAAGGAUUCCCCUCAGUAACGGCGAGUGAAGCGGGAAGAGCUCAAAUUUGAAAUCUUCAAGGUUUUACCUUGACGAAUUGUAGUUUAAAGAAGUGUUUUCGGUUAGAGGAGUUAGGUAAAAGUUCUUUGGAAUAGGACAUCAUAGAGGGUGAGAAUCCCGUAUUUGACCAUUAUUUCCAGCUUUGUGAUACACUUUCAAAGAGUCGGAUUGUUUGGGAAUGCAGUCCAAAAUGGGUGGUAAAUUUCAUCUAAAGCUAAAUAUUGGCGAGAGACCGAUAGCGAACAAGUACCGUGAGGGAAAGAUGAAAAGAACUUUGAAAAGAGAGUUAAACAGUACGUGAAAUUGUCAAAAGGGAAGCGUUUGACACCAGUGUUGUUUUUCCAAAAUCAAUUAAAAAUGGAUUCAUGCUAGGUAGUAUUGACUUCAUCGGCUUGCUGCUUAGUUUUGGGUUCUUUUUUGAUGCACUUUUCGGUUAACAAGUCAACAUCAAUUUCUUUUGUUGUAAAGGGUAUGAGGAAGGUGGCUUUCUUUUCGGAGAAAGUGUUUAUAGCCUUGUGCCUCUGCAAUCGGAGAGAUUGAGGUCUGCAGCGUAGAUCCUUCGGGGUUAGAUACAUUUGUGCUAAGUUAUAGCUUUUCAUAGACAACUUGUUGACUAUGUUUAGUCUUGUAGCUUACUCGCUUAUGCUAUUUUACCUACGCUUAGGAUGUUGACGCAUGAGAUAUACGC